rnacentral:misc_RNA from 1 species
GUAACUUUUAUCUCAAAGUUUUUCCUUUUUCUCUCUCUCUCAUCUUUCCCCAAAAACUCUGUUCUCUCUCUUUCUCUCUCUUUAUAUAUAAAGCUUAUGCAAUUAACUCUGUGGCAUUUCUGAAGCAUCUACGAGAUCUACUGUCCACACUGAAUACAUGGAUUCAAUGAGAUUUCCCACAAAUUAAGCCAAAAACGGAAAACCCAGGUCAUAGUGAGCAUUGGAGGAGGUGGCUGUUGUAUUGGGGUCUGUUCCAUCGGUGAAAGCAAAAUAUUCUUUUUCUUGAGCAGGGUAGUAUUGAACAGAUUGAAGUUUUGCUUUUCUGGGUUGAGCUCUCUUAUUUGUUUUGGGUCGUCAUUAAAUUAAUAGGGUAUCAAGAUCACUCUAGAGUGCUGUUAGAUUGGAUUUCAUUCUAAGAA